CAGUCGCCGCGGUAAUACAGAGGGUGCGAGCGUUAAUCGGAUUUACUGGGCGUAAAGCGUGCGUAGGCGGCUUCUUAAGUCGGAUUUGAAAUCCCUGAGCUUAACUUAGGAAUUGCAUUCGAUACUGGGAAGCUAGAGUAUGGGAGAGGAUGGUAGAAUUCCAGGUGUAGCGGUGAAAUGCGUAGAGAUCUGGAGGAAUACCGAUGGCGAAGGCAGCCAUCUGGCCUAAUACUGACGCUGAGGUACGAAAGCGUGGGGAGCAAACAGGAUUAGAUACCCCUGUAGUCCCUGUCUCUUAUAC
rnacentral:rRNA from 1 species